GUGGGUGUAGCUCAGUUGGUAGAGCCCAGGGUUGUGAUCCCUGUCGUCGCGGGUUCGAGUCCCGUCACCCACCCCA
rnacentral:tRNA from 1 species